AGUGCGGAGAAGAGGCAAUAACCAUUCUAAACACAAAGUAAUAUUUCCAAGAUGAAGGCCUUUCUUAUCAUAUGCAUUCUGUUGGCUACCGUUGCCUUCUCUCCCUUUUCCACUAGCACUGCCCUAGAAUUAUCCCAUAAAGAUCCAUACAGCACACUUGACGCUUCCCUGCAACAACAUGGCCCGAUGAAGCCUCCACGUGGCCCAAUGAAGCCGCCACGUGGUCCGAUGAAGCCGCCACGUGGCCCGGUCAAGCCACCACCUGGAAAGAAGCCACCUCCGGGGUCACAUUAAUGCUUACAAGUGGAACUGUGAAAUCCCUUGAGAAUGGAACACUGCGGAUUAGAAGCCAGUAAAGUGUCGACCGACAGCUAGUAGUAUCUUUAUUAACGUGGUAAUCUGACAUGAGAACACUUUGUGUAAGAAAAAUAAACUAUGGAGUUCUCAUAACAUGUCAGCAACCAUAUAUAUAUAAUGGUAUUAUGAGGUUUUAAUUUCUGUCGGGUUUUAAAUUGUAGUAACGUAAUGAAGUUAAUGCAUAAUAAAUAAAGUGCUUAACUAGCUAUCUUCUCUGGUGUUCA